UACGGGGGGGGCAAGCGUUGUUCGGAAUUACUGGGCGUAAAGGGCGCGUAGGCGGCUUGGCAAGUGGAUGGUGAAAUCCCUCGGCUUAACCGAGGAACUGCCGUCCAAACUGCUUAGCUUGAGACCGGGAGAGGUGAGUGGAAUUCCCAGUGUAGCGGUGAAAUGCUUAGAUAUGACAUAGAACACCAAUUGCGAAGGCAGCUGGCUACACGAAUAUUGACACUGAUGCACGAAAGCGUGGGGAUCAAACAGG
rnacentral:rRNA from 1 species